UACAGAGGGUGCGAGCGUUGUCCGGAAUCACUGGGCGUAAAGGGCGCGUAGGCGGCUCGGUAAGCGUGCGGUGAAAGCCCGGGGCUCAACCCCGGGUCGGCCGUGCGAACUGCGGAGCUGGAGCACUGUAGAGGCAGGUGGAAUUCCGGGUGUAGCGGUGGAAUGCGUAGAGAUCCGGAAGAACACCGGUGGCGAAGGCGGUCUGCUGGGCCAAGACUGACGCUGAGGCGCGACAGCGUGGGGAGCAAACAGG
rnacentral:rRNA from 1 species